GCAAGUCGAACGAGAAGCUUACCAUUGAUCCUUCGGGAGAUUUGUUAAGUAGAAAGUGGCGAAAGGGUGAGUAACGCGUGAGCAACCUGCCUCUAUGUCGGGGACAACAGUUGGAAACGACUGCUAAUACCGGAUGUGGCUAUAAUAUCGCAUGUUUUUAUAGCUAAGAUUUAUUGCAUAGAGAUGGGCUCGCGUACCAUUAGCUAGUUGGUGAGGUAACGGCUCACCAAGGCGACGAUGGUUAGGUGGUCUGAGAGGACGAUC
rnacentral:rRNA from 1 species